GAUGAACGCUGGCGGCGUGCCUAAUACAUGCAAGUCGAGCGAACAGAUGAGGAGCUUGCUCCUCUGACGUUAGCGGCGGACGGGUGAGUAACACGUGGAUAACCUACCUAUCAGACUGGGAUAACUUCGGGAAACCGGAGCUAAUACCGGAUAAUAUAUUGAACCGCAUGGUUCAAUAGUGAAAGACGGUUUUGCUGUCACUUAUAGAUGGAUCCGCGCCGCAUUAGCUAGUUGGUAAGGUAACGGCUUACCAAGGCAACGAUGCGUAGACGACCUGAGAGAGUGAUCGGCCACACUGGAACUGAGACACGGUCCAGACUCCUACGGGAGGCAGCAGUAGGGAAUCUUACGCAAUGGGCGAAAGCCUGACGGAGCAACGCCGCGUGAGUGAUGAAGGUCUUCGGAUCGUAAAACUCUGUUAUUAGGGAAGAACAAAUGUGUAAGUAACUAUGCACGUCUUGACGGUACCUAAUCAGAAAGCAACGGCUAACUACGUG
rnacentral:rRNA from 1 species